AAUCCGUCCCUUCUUCCCAGUAGAACUUUCCAUGUCGGCCCCCCACUCUGCACAUCAAAUCAUCAGAUGCAGUUCCUCUUUUACGACGAACACAGUGGACCAAAAUAUUCGAUAGUGUACAAGGUUGGCACUUACCAAGAGCACAGAAUCUCUGGCGGUCAUGGCUAAGAUGUCGGCGCACGAUACAGCUCCACUGCACAAACUCUCCACAGCAGUUUUGAUGGCGUCCACGACUUCAAAUCCUCGAGCGGAGUUAAGGUUGGGGAAAGCAAACUUCUCACCGUCACUUCCAUCCAGGAGAACCGAUCCAUCGCAUCCCUGGUGUGUGAGCAGAGUGAAGUAUUACAGGAAAGCAUCCAAGCCAUGAAUGAUGAUGAAAACAUGACGGGCUGAUAAGUCAAUGAAAGAUGGGGAAAAGACUGACGAAUGAAUGGGAAGACUCUCAUAGCCUUCCGAAUCCUAGGAAGUCCUAGGAUUUUGAGGCAAACAAGAUGCAGGCAACUUACUGUCUUCCCAAAAAGGAGGAAUAGGAGAUUGAAUUUCUCGUUCUAGGAAUGGUCAAGAAGUACCUUUCUGUUCACUAACUUGUUUUGUGAACAAUGAUGUCCCUUGCCAGGUGCAGCAAAUCUUUUGUUUGAGUCCGCGUGGAA